rnacentral:rRNA from 1 species
GACAGAGGCCUCAAGCGUUAGGCGGAAUCACUGGGCUUAAAGCGUGUGUAGGCGGAUCGUUAAGUGUCUUGUGAAAUCCCACGGCUCACCCGUGGAACUGCUGGGCAUACUGGCGAUCUUGGGCCAACUAGGGGCAACUGGAACAAGCGGUGGGGCGGUGAAAUGCGUAGAUAUCGCUUGGAACGCCAAAGGUGAAAACAGGUUGCUGGGGUUGUGCCGACGCUGAGACACGAAAGCCAGGGGAGCAAACGGG